ensembl:lncRNA
AGCAGACGUUCACUCCUCUUCUAGAAAUUAAGUAGCAUGUUUACCGUUACACAUCUCUAUGGGGUGCACCGUUUCCAGAAGUACUGCAAUACUGGGUCGAUGUGUGGAGUGGACGGAGCAAAUCUCUCCAAAAAUCAAUUUAAUAUAUGGUCCCCGGGUAGGGGACGUAUCAGAUAUUAAACUGAUAAGAACAGAUACUACACUUGAUCUUAGCCAAAAGGCCGAGAAGCGAUACCGCCAUGACGUAGAAGCUGAAGUACACAUUCUCCCAACAGUCAGUCUCAGUGACGGUGCAAACGUCUACGUUGAGUUGACCAGUACAUUAGAGUUUAACAGUGUGGUCCAGUGGGACCAAAUGCUAAGACGUGCAACGCUUACAGAAAACGGAGGAAAGGGUUGCUCCUUAAACGUUUAAAGUCAUGGUUAGUAGGGCGCCACUGGGUCAUGUGACAGGCUAUUGUCCAAUAGGAUUCAUAAUAAAAUGGUGCCGAUGUAGUUUGUCAUUAUUACUUAUAUUUUAACUAGUCUAGCGUUACAUGAGCUAAUAAUUAUUACUAUUGUAAUAAAAACAAAUCUAACAUCUUUCUCACUGCAGAAAAGCGAUGUUUAAUCGAUUAGCAGGUUGAUAAAUGCCAAACUACAGCUUCGACAUCUAGCGGAGAAUAGAGAGAACUGCAUCCAAGUAAGCGAAGCUUGUUUUUACUAGUAUGUGAAUCAAAAAAAUUAGAUCUUAUAUCUCUACGCAUGCGCUGCUUGUAUUUAUACAGUUUACUCGUUGAUUAUAAUUUUCUUUUGAACACAUUAUCAGGGGAGAGCGCGAACGCAGUCCCCCACUACCAGAAAUUAUGCAGAACUGAACCGUAGACAACCAAUCGAAUCACAGCUGAAAUUAGACAAACAAUCACAGCCCUCGUUCGGCUCCUGUGUGGGUUAAAAAGCGACUCGACAUUACGACAACACAGACCGUUAUAUGUAUUACAAAUCAGAGUUUAUUUCUGCGCCCUACUUUAAUUGCAAAGCUGCCUGCGGACAUAGGGUGACCUGUCUUGCGUGUUUAUGUGUAAUUGCUGCUAGCAUAAAAGUGAAGAUGGCAACGCUCCAUGUUGUGAACCCAGGCGCACCUGCACAUGGCCGUAAAGGCUGUAUUAGCGGCAACCAAAGAGGCAGGUCAUUACCCGGAGAAGUCGAUGAUCAAAGCUCUGCUUCUGUACCCCCCCACUGCUCUGGACCAUGCAGAGAUCUUCACAACAGAGAGAUCCCUGCACCAAGACAGGAGUGUCUGGGAAGGCUGGUGUCGCUUUCUGGCCAGUGUGGACUUGCACCUUUCCACUAGCUUGUGGUAAAAUAUGUAGUAAGUAUGUUUUGUUUAGGAGAAAGAUAAACUUUAUUGAUCCCACAGUGGGGAAAUUCAGCAAGAAACUAACCUGGACCAAUUAAUCUUGUAAUGAUGUAUAUGAUUGUGUUAAUAUGAUUGUGUUGAUGUUCAAGUAUGAUUCUUAGUUCCUGCAGUGGCUAUUUCCAGAUUCCAAAUUGUAAGUCCCUGCUUGCAAGUGUUUUCUGUUAGCUGAUCUUGAGUACUGUGCCUUUUGCAAUUUAACCUUUAGUUAAUAAAAGUUUGAAACUGCCUUCGUUGUAGUGCA